UACCAGCACCCCGAGUGGUCGGGACGAUUAUUGGGCCUAAAGCAUCCGUAGCCGGUCAUGCAAGUCCUCCGUUAAAUCCACCUGCUUAACAGAUGGGCUGCGGAGGAUACUACAAGGCUAGGAGGCGGAAGAGGCAAGCGGUACUUAGUGGGUAGGGGUAAAAUCCGUUGAUCCAUUGAAGACCACCAGUGGCGAAGGCGGCUUGCCAGAACGCACUCGACGGUGAGGGAUGAAAGCUGGGGGAGCAAACAGG
rnacentral:rRNA from 1 species